rnacentral:rRNA from 1 species
AGAGUUGAUCAUCGGCUCAGGACGAACGCUGGCGGCGUGCCUAACACAUGCAAGUCGAACGGACGAGGGGAGCUUGCUCCCCGAGUUAGUGGCGAACGGGUGAGUAACGCGUGAGCAACCUGCCUUUCAGAGGGGGACAACGGUUGGAAACGACCGCUAAUACCGCAUGAAACAUUCUGACCGCAUGAUCGGGAUGUCAAAGAUUUAUCGCUGAAAGAUGGGCUCGCGUCUGAUUAGAUAGUUGGUGGGGUAACGGCCUACCAAGUCGACGAUCAGUAGCCGGACUGAGAGGUUGAACGGCCACAUUGGGACUGAGAUACGGCCCAGACUCCUACGGGAGGCAGCAGUGGGGAAUAUUUGGGGCAAUGGGGGAAACCCUGACCCAGCAACGCCGCGUGAAGGAAGAAGGCUUUCGGGUUGUAAACUUCUUUUACCGAGGACGAAGAACGUGACGGUACUCGGAGAAAAAGCCACGGCUAACUACGUGCCAGCAGCCGC